ACGGGUGAGUAACACGUGAGUAACCUACCUUAUACAGGGGAAUAACACCGUGAAAAUGGUGCUAAUACCGCAUAAUAUUAUUUUGUGGCAUCGCAGAAUAAUCAAAGGAGCAAUCCGGUAGAAGAUGGACUCGCGUCCGAUUAGCUAGUUGGAGGGGUAAUGGCCCACCAAGGCGACGAUCGGUAGCCGAACUGAGAGGUUGAUCGGCCACAUUGGGACUGAGACACGGCCCAGACUCC
rnacentral:rRNA from 1 species